UGAUGCACCUCCUGCUGUAGCACACGUAACUACUGUCUCCAGAACACUGUUAAACAGGUUGGAUGCAGUCAUCUUCUGAUUAGGAGCCAACUGGAUGUCUGUUAUGGCUUGACAUCUGUCUUGUAACUUGCUGAUGACAGAAUUUGUCGAAAUUACUUUGAUAACAGCCCCCAACUUCUGAGACACUAUGUUACAUAACCCGACUGAGAAAGGUCAUGUGACCAUGCCAGGACCAGUGUGAGGCUGACUGGUGGACAGGUCAAGUAGGUGAAAGGUCAUGUGACCAUGCCAGGACCAGUGUGAGGCUGACUGGUGGACAGGUCAAGUAGGUGAAAGGUCAUGUGACCAUGCCAGGACCAGUGUGAGGCUGACUGGUGGACAGGUCAAGUAGGUGAAAGGUCAUGUGACCAUGCCAGGACCAGUGUGAGGCUGACUGGUGGACAGGUCAAGUAGGUGAAAGGUCAUGUGACCAUGCCAGGACCAGUGUGAGGCUGACUGGUGGACAGGUCAAUUAGGUGAAAGGUCAUGUGACCAUGCUAGGACCAGUGUGAGGCUGACUGGUGGAUAAGUUCCAGUGGAUAAGAGAAUGAUUUCAGCACAUUAUAAUUAAUAUGAAGAGUUCACACAGUAUACUGGUCAUGCAUAGAUACAGGUCAUGUUCCUCAACAAGACAAAUCGCCCAAUAUGACAAGAUCGCAGACUGAUGGCCACAAGUCCAAAAGUGUAUGUGCAGGGAUGUGAAAUCUGCGAGGAAACGCGGAAAAUUGCGUUUUUUAAAACAGUAGUCCUCGGGGGAAAAAACAUAUUCCUCGGAAAAUAUAA